ensembl:lincRNA
UCAGAACAUAGGAGAAAGGAAAAGUCAUUUCAACUCCAGAAGGUGACCUGGAUCCUAUCUAGCACCUCAGGUCUGCCCAUGAAGUGGGCUGGCAUCAUUCUCCAGGGAUUCAUCAG